GAUGAACGCUAGCUACAGGCUUAACACAUGCAAGUCGAGGGACCGGCGCACGGGUGCGUAACACGUAUCCAACCUGCCCUUUACUCGGGGAUAGCCUUUCGAAAGAAAGAUUAAUACCCGGUAUACAGGAUGGGGAUGCGUUCGAUUCGUUUGUGGGUGAGGUAACGGCUCACCAAGACUUCGCUGGAUAGGGGUUCUGAGAGGAAGGGCCACCAGAUUGGAACUGAGACACGGUCCAAACUCCGACGGGAGGCAGCAGUGAGGAAUAGUGGGCAAUGGGCGCUAGCCUGAACCAGCCAAGUAGCGUGAAGGAUGAAGGCUUAUGGGUCUUAAACUUCUUGUAUAUAAGAAUAGGUAUUAUAUGAAUAAGGAUCGGCUAACUCCGUGCCAGCAGCCGCGGUAAUAC
rnacentral:rRNA from 1 species